ACACAAAACAUCCUUGUCUGCUUCCAUGGAACAUACUGGUGGUGCCAGUGUCAUCCUGGGGGAUGAGACCAUGUCAGCUGUAACAGAGCCUGCUCUGAUAUCCCUUGAAGAUCUUUCCAUAAGAUACCUCCGUUCCUCUGCAAAGGCUGUAGACUGAUGCAUAAUUUCCAGUCUUCAACCUUUAUGUACCUUUGACUGCUUUGUUUUGGGCCUGUAACAACAUCAUCCUUCAGCUUAUAUGGCUCUUCUCUCUUCCUGUGGAUUUACAGGGAUCACCAGCUCAGUCAAGGAAAGAAGUAUUCUUUUUUGUCUUUGUAAAACAUACUGUGAUAAGCUUCCAGUCCAGAUAGAAUAGGACAUCCAGGACAUAUGCUAAACCAAGAGGUAUGUAAAUGAAUAGGCUCAAAACAGAGGUCUCCAAAGCUACCUCUGGAUCGUGUUUAAUACUUGUUUUUAUUUAGUUAGUUUAGGUUUUACAUUCAGAUUUAUUGCCAACUUUCAAAUUCACUGAAAUCAAGAAUAAAUAGACUUGGGCAUCAACUAUCAUUUUUUACUCAGUGGUUUAUCUUCUCUGAUCUUCAGUUCCUAACUGAGAAGGGUGCAAAUCUCCUGUAAGAUCCAUGUCUUAUCUCCAACCACUAUACAGAUGUCCUUGAUACCCAAAGAAUUGAAAAUAAAAUUGGAUGGCUAUGUUUCAGGAACUGUUUCCACACACAAACACCCCCCAGAUGUCGUCUUGUACUGCAAUAAAACGAAACUUUCAGUGCUUUUCAUCUUUCUCUAUAGUUGUAAUUGAUUUGUAUGUCUUUAUCUUAUCUCUUCUUAUCUCCUCUUCAAAGCAAACAAUUACAGUCCCUUCAUUCUCUCUCAGACUGGAAUAUUUUCUGUGGCUCUGACCUGCCUAUCUCUGAUCCUUCUCAAUUUCCACUACAUAUUCUUUGCACUGGAACCACAGGAACUGAAUAAUAGCUCUGUUUGCUUCUAUUAUUAUUAUUGUUACUGUUGAGAACCUAUUAUUGUUUGCAUUACUAUAACACUGUUAUAAUAUUUUUACACUGUUCUCCAUUCUCUUCCUUUGUUGUUCCUGCUUUGCUUUUUUGCCCAUCUCUACACAUUGACCACAGUUCUGAAUCGCUCGCAGCGAUGUGCACAUUCUCUGCCCGCCAAGUCCUUACCAUUACAGUGGAAUACAUCUUAUCUAAACUUGCCAUCUGAGCAUUGUAGGCCUGAAGUCCACAUUAAACUAGGAAACUCUGCACAAGCAUUGCAUCAUGAGCUUAGGAGAGUGUUAUUUCAGGAAGCUACACAGCAAAGUACUCUGAAGUUAUGUGUGUUAAUGCAACAGAAGUGGCCAUUUUAAGGAGCUGGAGUGGUGUGAGAAUCUGCUAGGCUGUUCUCACAGAGGAAUUCUUGAUAGCAUAGUGGAUUACAAGGGCUUAGUGAACAGGAAGAUAAAGAGGAGAUUUCAGCAGUCUAACACCAAAGCAAGACUUAGCAAAAUGCAAACUAUGAGGAAGAAGUAGUAAAGGUAACAUUGGGAUAGUGUGGGGUAUAGGUGAUGUGCUGAAACAGAGAAAACAGGAAGAAGAAAUGAAAGAUAACACUAGAAAAUAAAAUUCUUUAAGUGCAAUUGUGGCAAUGGAAAAUCAAACAGAGAUACUGGAUACAAAGGGAAUUAUGGUGAAAAGGAAUAGAAAGGCAAACGGCAGAGCAGUCAACAGAGAAGUAGCUGCUGAGAGCAUCAAGUAAGAACAAAGAGGCAGCUUCAGAAUUGAGCCAAAUCCUCACAUCAGAUAGAGUAACAUAACUCUAGCAUUGUCAACCAAUUCAUUCCUGCAGAGAAAGGGUCUCUUAGUGUUAUAUUUCUCUAAUAAACCUGUCCUUUUUCAUUACUGUGUCAUAAUUGACAUGUUGAUAUGUUAGGGUUUUAUACCAAAAUGUAUAGUUCAGAAAUCUUCAUUCUUGCCAGCUAAAUAAAUAUUUAGAUGUUUUAUUUAACUUGAUUAAGCAUGUUUUCAAAGAACUUAAAAAAAUUAACUUCUGGAAGUUUUCCUUCUGUUACUAAAUAACAUUUGAACUAAAUAAAAUCUGA